AGCCUGACCUCCCCCUGGCUCCCCCCUCCUGUCAGGGGGUUGCAGAGCCAGAAGGUCCCCCCUGAGCCUCCUUUUCUCCAGGCUGAGCCCCCCAGCUCCCUCAGCUGCUCCUGCUGCUCCAGCCCCUUCCCAGCUCCGUUCCCUUCCCUGGACACGCUCCAGCCCCUCAGUGUCUGUCUUGGAAUGAGGGGCCCAGGACUGCCCCCAGGGCUGGAGGUGCCCCAGCAGUGCCAGCACAGGGAUGGGCACUGCCCUGGUCCUGUGGACAUGCUGGGACUGACGCAAGCCAGGUGCUCUCAGCUUUCCCCCCCUGGGCUUGUGUUCCCCCCCUGCCAUCAGCACCCCCAGGGCCUUUCCCACUGGGCACUUUCCAGCUGCACUUCCCCUUUAUUGUUGGGGGUUGUGGUGCCCCAACUGCAGGACGUUGGCCCUGUGCCCCUUCAGGGGGUGAUUUUUUUUUAUUCUUUUCAUUUUGCCAGUAGAAACUCUUGUACAAUUUCAUUUGUGCUGAAAAAAAAAAAGACUGUUUUCACUGGUGUAGUUAAUGAGGGGUACCCAGGAGAUUCCUGAGAACUGUGUUAGUCCAGAACAGGAAAAGAUGUGCGAUGCCAAAGCCCAUGUGUCAGCAAAUCUAAUUCUUUUGUGGUGUGUGCUUUCCCCCAGCACGUAGUUUGAUUAUAUUUGUACAAAGUAGAGCUUUCCUGGUGCAGUUUCAUUCUCCUUGGAGCUCUGUGCCAGUAAGGGAGGCUGGAAUCCUUCUUCAGCAAAUGGUGCUGGGGUAGGGCUGACCUCAGGAACAUUCUCUGGUGGAAAACCUGGAAAAUGAAUCUGUACUUGAGAGUUUUGCUGACUUUAAUAUCUCCAGGCUGCACAGUUCUCCUAAAGGGAGAAUAAGUGCCUGCAAAAAGAGCCUUUGGACAGCUGGGAAAUUGGAUUGAGAUUACCACAAAAAGACUGGUGGUAGUGUCACCUCCAUGAAAGGGUGUGGGCUAAUUCUGACAGCUGUUAAUAUGAAGAUAUUACAUUAUUAUUAAUUAUUACAUCUACUGAUAUAAUUAAAAUAUGUUAAUAUAAUAAGACUGGGAUAAAUCCCAAAGGUUUCAUCUCUUAAAGUCCAGAAUGUAGCUAGAGGAAACAAAUCCACUUUUUCAGAAUAUUUUAAAAAUAAGAAGCAACACUGAGAAAUUUUCUCUAAACCUGCAGCGCGUUGGGAUGCAGAUCCAGCACUUUGCAAGGCAAAGGUCCAGCAAUCAAAACUUAAUGGUUUAAAAAAAAAAAAUCCUGUCAAAAUGCUUCUUCUCAAAAGGUUAUUUUGCCAACCUUCUGUUGGAGUGGUUUUAAGAUUUAUUAGAGGCUGAGGCUUGGCUUCCUCAUGACAGAGCAGCUUAAGCUGGUAUUUCACAUGCACAGUUCAUGUCUCAGCAUCUGCUGAGCACCCAAAAUAAAUGAACUCCAAGGUCACCUCUUGGAACUUAAAUCACAGGCUUUCUGAGCAGAUCUGCUGCUCUCCCUAGUUCUCAGUGGCAAGAGGGACAAGCCUUUAAGCGGUUUAAACUCCUCCUUCCUCCUGCCCCACUCCAAGUUAAAUCAUCUGACACUAAUUGGCACGUUCCCAGUGCCUGGAGCCCUCGGACUUCCAAUGAUCUCCAAACAAAUUAACUAUGAAACAAGUCAGGAAGCAGCUCAGGGACAGCUGCCUGAUGGAACCAGAGGAUCAAAGCACAAAGCUGGAAAACGAACUCCUGAAGUGCUAAUAACUCCUUAUACCUUUGAAUGGGAGAGGAUUAAGCUGGGGAGGGAGCAGCUCUGUCAUAUUCUGGUUAUUUAAAGGGAGGUGGGGAUGCUUGGAUUUUCGCUGAGGAGACCAGUGAGAAAGCCUGGAACUGGCUGGGGUGGUUUAGGGAAGUUCCAGUCCAAACCUGAGGGAGAACCAGGUAGGAUGGGUGGGUUUUCUGGGUCUGAGUUGUGUCUGCCUUGCUCACUAAGCUAAAAUACCUUCCUGUUUUCUCCCUUUCCCAGAAGGAAAGGCCCAGCAGCACCAGGGUAGUGAGCUGGAAUCCAACUUGUCCAGGAGACCAGCUGAGCCUGAGCGAGUCAUGCCCAAAAAGUGCUUACCUGGCAGAACCCAAAUCCUUAAUCACAUGUGGAAAAGGAGAAUCCAGCUGGUGCCUUCUGUCCUACACAUUCCUGUCACACUCAUCCUUCUGUUUGCUCACUAAAUUUGACACAAUGCUCGAGGUACCAGAACCACAACCCCUUUCCCUUCCCCUCCUCCUCAAAGCCACCUCAGAAGCUGGAAUGGCUUUUCCUCUCCUAUCUUCGCUCCUCUUCAUCCUCUCCCUUGUCUCUGCUCCCUCUAGUGAUCCCGUGCAGGUGCUGGUUUGCUCUCCUGCUCUAGGCAGGGACAACGAGGAUUAAAUUUGGGAUUUAUUAUCCCUGCAUUUUGCAUAAGGUAGGAAUUACAUCAGCCUGCCUUGGAAGAGAAAAUAAUUCAGAGUCUCUGCAACCUUCACUUUACCUCCUUGUGCCAUCACAGCCUCCACCUGCCACUGACCUGGAGGCCAACUCCAAAUUCAAUUGGUUUUCCAACCCACACUUUUAUCAUUUUGAUUUCAUUCUCAGUUCAUGGCUUGGGGAUUUCUUUCACAACCUUAAAAUUUCUUUCUAAUUCAGGAAGCUGGAAAUUUAGUAGGAUAUAACACCUGGGGUUAGAGCCUGGGGUUUUGGUAACACUGCAACAACAUCCACUGCACCUAAAUAUUGUGCUCUAGUUCACUUUUGACUCUUUGAUUCAGUCUAGAUUUGUUUAAUUUGUUUAAGUCUACCAAAGCUUUUGUAGCCAUGAGAUAUGCUGUCCUGCCUAUUGGCUGAAAAUCAGAAAAUAUGGAAGGGGACUGGAGAUCUGUGUCUUGGAAUCACUGGAUCACUGCAGGGAGAAUGUGCAAUAAAAAUGGGGACUCAUGAGAUCUUUCCAGAGUUGUUACUGAAACUUAACCGUUUAAGGUGCUCUAAACCUGUUUGUUGUACAAUAUUUAUAUUCCAUGUGCAUGGGAUUAUCCAGAAAAGAUCUUUAGGAUUAUCAAGUCCAACCACCAAUCGGCACCAGCACCAUGGUCACCACUAAGCCAUGUCCUCAAGUGCCACAUCCAUGUGUUUUCUGAACAUUUCCAGGGAUGGUGAGUCCACCACUGCCCUGGGCAGCUGUGCCAGGGCUGGACAACCCUUUCUAUGAAGAAAUUUUCCCUAAUAUCUAAUCUAAACCUAACAUUCCUAAUUUCCACAGAAUCAUCAAGGUUGGAAGAGAUCUUCAAGAUCAUCUAGUCCAGCUGUCAAGCCACCACCACCAUAUUCACCCCUAAACCAUGUCCCCGAGUGGCACACCCAGACACUUCCCGAACACUUCCAGAGAGUGGUGGUGACCCCACCACGUCCCCGGGCCACAGUUGUCCCACUAGUUCUAAAUUUAGUCAAAAAAUAAAGACUGGAACAAUUGGAAAACCAGUCCAGCAGAAAGUGGUCAGAUGACAUGACAUUAAACCUCUGUGGAGCACUCAGCACGCCGAUGUUGGAAUCUACCCUGCUCUUUGGUUGGGAUUCAGAGUCAUAACCAUGAGAGGACAUGGAAUCACAGAAUGUUAAGGGGUUGGAAUGGACCUUAAAGCUCAUCUUGUUCCCCCCCCUGCCAUGGACAGGGACACCUCCCACUAGCUCAGGUUGCUCCAAGCCCCGUCCAACCUGGCCUUGGACACUUCCAGGGAUCCAGAAGCAGCCACAGCUUCUCUGGGCAACCUGUGCCAGGGCCUCCCCACCCUCACAGGGAGGAAUUACUUCCUAAUAUUAACCUAAAUUUCCCCUCUUUCCAUUUGUACCGUUACUCCUUGACCCGUCACUUCAUUCCUGAUGAAUGCCUGAGAUCCACUGGGCAGAUCUGGAGUUGGUCAUCCAGGGACAAGGAUUCCUCUGCUUUCAUGGAAGAGUUUCCCUCCCAGAUGCCCAUUUGCGCAUGACGAGGAGGGAUGCUCACUCCAGGAGACAGGAAUGUUUUCCACAAGUUCCCUGGACUGGGGGAGUGACAGCUGAAGGCUGAGCCCGUGGAACACUUGGACCUGUUGCUUGCAGCUCAAUGGAGCAACAUUCCCUGGUGGCAGAUGCUUCCUCACACAUGAAAAACGUGGAAACCCAAAGCUUCCUAAAAGCCCAAAAUAUUACCCUCCAGCAUAUAGCACCCAGGAGCUGCCAGAAAGGAGCACGUGGGGAAACGGCACCUGAACUGGCAUGGAUAGCAUCUGAAUGGCACCUGGAGCAUGGAAUGACAGUCCUAACCCAGGCAUGUCCCAUUAUCUGCUCAGCAGGAAUACGUAUUUUUCCCUCAUCACUUCGCCCUCCAAGAACACGCUCAGCACAAGGUGCUUGAGGAGUUCUGGGGGAUUAUUUCCAACCCUGCUGAUGUUCCAGCAGAUCCCAUUGUUGAGCCAUAACUACCGAGUCCUGGCAUUGGGAAUGGAAGGCAGCAGAAGUGCUGCUCCUUUUGUUCCAUCCAGAUGAUACCAAUCAGUGGCCUCAUUAAUGACACCUUCAUUAAACCAUGCCAACAACA